rnacentral:rRNA from 1 species
GACGAACGCUGGCGGCGUGCUUAACACAUGCAAGUCGAACGGAAAGGCCCUGCUUUUGUGGGGUGCUCGAGUGGCGAACGGGUGAGUAACACGUGAGUAACCUGCCCUUGACUUUGGGAUAACUUCAGGAAACUGGGGCUAAUACCGGAUAGGAGCUCCUGCUGCAUGGUGGGGGUUGGAAAGUUUCGGCGGUUGGGGAUGGACUCGCGGCUUAUCAGCUUGUUGGUGGGGUAGUGGCUUACCAAGGCUUUGACGGGUAGCCGGCCUGAGAGGGUGACCGGCGACAGGGGGAGGGUGAGACCGAGCAGUCAGGGAGGGGAGGGAGGAGUGGGGAAUAAGGACCAGUGGACGGAGGCGUGGCGCGGCAACGGGGGUUGCGGCAGCACGGCCGGCGGGUCGUAAUCCGUCUUCGCGUGGGAAGAGGGUUGGGUGGCGGUAUGGGGUAGCGAAGACCCGGCGAACAAGGUGCAAGGACCGGGCUUACUAGACAGAACGGCGGGCGUUAGCAG